AGAAAAGAGAAGUCGUAACAAGGUUUCGGUAGGUGAACCUGCGGAAGGAUCAUUG
rnacentral:rRNA from 1 species